rnacentral:rRNA from 1 species
UAGGGAAUCUUCCACAAUGGACGAAAGUCUGAUGGAGCAACGCCGCGUGAGUGAAGAAGGUUCUCGGAUCGUAAAACUCUGUUGUGAGGGAAGAACAAGUACCGGAGUAACUGCCGGUACCUUGACGGUACCUCAUUAGAAAGCCACGGCUAACUACGUGCCAGCAGCCGCGGUAAUACGUAGGUGGCAAGCGUUGUCCGGAAUCAUUGGGCGUAAAGCGCGCGCAGGCGGUCCCUUAAGUCUGAUGUGAAAGCCCACGGCUCAACCGUGGAGGGUCAUUGGAAACUGGGGGACUUGAGUGCAGAAGAGGAAAGCGGAAUUCCAAGUGUAGCGGUGAAAUGCGUAGAGAUUUGGAGGAACACCAGUGGCGAAGGCGGCUUUCUGGUCUGUAACUGACGCUGAGGCGCGAAAGCGUGGGGAGCAAACAGGAUUAGAUACCCUGGUAGUCCACGCCGUAAACGAUGAGUGCUAAGUGUUAGGGGGUUUCCGCCCCUUAGUGCUGCAGCUAACGCAUUAAGCACUCCGCCUGGGGAGUACGGUCGCAAGACUGAAACUUGAAAUGAAUUGACGGGGGUCAUAGCUGUUUCCUG